rnacentral:rRNA from 1 species
CUCAGUUCGGAUCGAAGUCUGCAACCCGACUUCGUGAAGCUGGAUUCGCUAGUAAUCGCGCAUCAGCCAUGGCGCGGUGAAUACGUUCCCGGGCCUUGUACACACCGCCCGUCAAGCCAUGAAAGCCGGGGGUACCUGAAGUACGUAACCGCAAGGAUCGUCCUAGGGUAAAACUGGUAAUUGGGGCUAAGUCGUAACAAGGUAAC